CUGUGCGGGUCAGAAACACACUUCUUACAUUUACAACUAAAAACGAAUAAUAUAUUUGCACUUUAUAUUAGGCCUUAGCAAAGUCCUCCCACCAAAUAGUGUCACAAAAACAGAAUAACUAGAAAAUUUCUAGGCCUACACAUUGAGGUGUGCUACAAGAUAACUGGUAACUCUGUAAACAGGAGUAGGUGCAUCACCGGUCACUGAGCUGGCAAGCUAAAGUUAGCUAGUUAGUCACAUAAAUGUACGUUCAGCCUGAUAAUUAUUUAUUUUACGAAGUCAGCAUGGCUUAACAUAGUUUAUUUCGUUUUUGACCUCGACAUUGUUGCUGGAUAGAUACUUUCAUACCUAACAUGCUGGCGCUGCUAGCUAGCUAAUGCUAACGGCGCUAGCUAACCUCAUAUCUGGAUGCCUCACUCUAGUUCCCGAGAGAGCAGCAUACUGGCCCUCCAUUCCCAUACCUGAAGCCCCCUGUGCCCAGCAAGAAAGACCAGGAAAAAGUGCCAGCUUAAGACCUGCUCGGUGGGUGACAGGUAACCGUCUUUCCACCAAGUUGGGCCAGGCCUGGAGUGGGUGACAGGUAACCGUCUUUCCACCAAGCUGGGCCAGGCCUGGAGUGGGUGACAGGUAACCGUUUUUCCACCAAGCUGGGCCAGGCCUGGAGUGGGUGACAGGUAACCGUCUUUCCACCAAGAUGGGCCAGGCCUGGAGUGGCACGCUGGAACUUCCAGAGGCUUGUAGACCUGAAGCAGUGUGAUGUGAUCCAGAUCUGACACCCCUAUUAGCUCAACCACAGUCUUCACAGCUGCAGUCGUCUGCCCCUGCAUCUGCUACACCGGCCACGACAGGUGAAACAGAUCUGCCACCCCCAGCAGUUCAGCUGCAGUCACAGCAGUCCUCUGCUUAAUUUACCGGCUGCACCAGGUCCUACUACACUGGCCGUUAAAGGAAGAAACUAUUUUUUACGAUACCCAGAUGAAUACAGAUCUGCCAUGUACUCCACCACUGCCUGACAGCCUCACCCAGAAGUGCAUACACACUGGGCCUUUCAAGACUGACAAAGCAGAGAUGGGUGGCUGACAAGGAAAAAUAAAACAACAUGCACUACAUUAUACACAAUGUAAAUAAGAUGUAAUUACUUGUUCAUUUAAUGUUUGGUCCAUUUUAUUUUAGGAUUGGAGAGAUCUACUCCUUCAUAUCCAUUGUCAAUAUCUACAUAAUUACUCUAAAUAUCUAUCAAAUCAAUAUGUGAUUGAUAAUUUUGUAAAAGGCUAUGGCUUAAUGUUUACAGUUUGGGGAAAUUCUGUGCUUUUUUCUGAGUUGAAAAACAUGUCUCACACACACAUUAGACCCAAUGUAAAUACAUUGUAAUAACUUGUUUAUUUUAUGUAUGCUACAUUUUAUUUGAGGAAAAUAUCUGCAAUAAACUACAUUCAGUUAAAUUAAA